rnacentral:lncRNA from 1 species
UGUUCUUGUUUUAUUUUUAUUGCCAUCUUGGAGUAUUAAGAAAGCUGGGGUCACCUGGCAUGAGAAUAGUAACCCUCUGUCUUACAUUCAGUCCUUUCCAAUUUGGGAUGUCCCAUACUGUAAGUUCUGUUUGAAAAGUCAAAGAAAAAGGCUUUGAACCAUCCGAAACUAUCCUUUUAAAUACUUAUUAAUUUAUUCAAAAGUAGGAAUAAGAGGGAAAUAUUGGGAUUUAAUGCUUUUCAGCUUGAAUUUGAGUGCAUUGUUUUUCAACUUUUUUGGAGUCAUUUGCUAAUCAUUUUGAGAAAUGUAAACCAAAACUAACAUAGCAAGUAACAUUGCAGGAUAAUAAUACAUAAACGUGGGAUGAUGUUGUUUUCAUUCCUCCUGGUUUGAUUGUUCCAACUGAUUCCUUCCCAAAAUAGGUAUCUGCGUUCGCCGACCUUAGUAGUUGGCUUCCCUCACAAUUUUUAUGCUUAAUUAUAUAAGAUAAGAAUAUGAUAGCAGUAGGAAUGUGACUGUAAAGUGAUUGCCAAAGGAUGCGACAGUUGUGUUUGUGCAAUUAAGUUACGCCCAGUUAGUAUCCAUUAAUGGGUGUCUGGGAAGGGAAAGAUUGUAUCAAGUGGCAAAGGAUCAUGCAAAAUGCAAUGUACCAUCCUAAGGCACCGUGUUGCAGACGAAAUAUGUUUUUCUUCUUUUGCUGUUCUGAGAAUUGUUUUGGUUCAUAUUUAGUCCGUCCUUGGCCUGCUGACAUCAUGUGUAAGCUGUAUGACUUAAUGGGGCAAUUUUUGGUUUGUGAAUUCAAAUUCAGCUGAAUGUGGGCGGUUUCUCCUCUCUCUUGAUCGUGUUUAUGUGAUCUGCCUUAGAUUAUGAGCGCUGCAGCUUUGUGCAUUUUGCUCUUAUUUUUGAUGAUCAAAUAUGAAAUGCUAAAGUAGAUGUCAUUUACACGACCGUAAAUCCACAUUGCUGUUUGAGAAGUAAUGGGAAUCCAGGACAGACAUGAAAUGCAUUAAUAUGGUGCCUUGCUUGUGGCAUAUGGCAGGGCCAGGGCAAUAUUGAAUGAAUUUCUCACUAGAUUCUGUGUAAUGUUACAAAUCUGGUAGUAGAUUUGUUUAUAAAGUUGUGGUGAGUGGGAAUGGUUUGUUUUGUUUAGAAUUCCGGAAUAAUAAAGAAACGAACGAAAAAAAAAUAAAUGCUUUUUUUUUUUUUUUUUUGUGAUUUUUUUUGACUCAUUCUGAAUUUCCUUAUUUUGGUCUUGCUAAUAAUUUUGUCAUUUUUCAUUCAUGAGUGAACCCAUCACUAAAUUUCCUUCACUUCUUUAAGACGUCAGGGGACCGAAUCUGCCCCCCAACAGUGUCCCUUGGAUCUAUUUGGGGUUUCUUUCUCUCACUUUGGGCGCUUCUUUAUGAUGAUGAUAUUGUAUUUGAUCUUUAUUGUGAUUGAUUGCGCUUGUUAUAUAAUAUACAGUAAGGGAGACAAAUAUUUGGAUUGUCUCUAAAAUGAUCAAGGCCAUAUAAUAAUACAGUAGGGAGACAAAUAUUUGGAUUGUCUAAAAUGACAAGGCCCAAUAAACUGGAUCACGGGUUUGGGGCGUGAGACCAGGCCUUAUUUUACCUUAUGGCCCGGGGACUGGACCGUUGGGCAGGGUUUAGAGUACUGGAUUGGCCAACUGGGUCGCGUUGGUCGGUCGAGUUAAACCAUUUCUAACUGAACUGAGAUCCAUGCUAGGGAUAACGAUUGGGAACUUGAAAGUGUGCUUAACACGUAACCAUGCAGGGCUUGAUGGGCAAGGAGACUUAAACCUAUAAAUAGAAUCACUUCAAAGAGGUUGGUUAUGCAAUUAUUCGCUCUCAAAACUUUGACAUUUGUAGCUCUCAUAGUUAAGUUCCCUUUUCCAUUCACUGACUCGAGUAUCGGUGUGUUUUUUGGGUCAACCCCAGCCUGAGGACUGUAACGAUGUCUUAUUCUGUUCGCAGACGAAAUGGAGUAUUCUGUUCGCUAGGUGAGAAGACGAAGUGAAGAAAACCAUACUAUUGGUGCCCGCAAGGCCAUUCCAUUUUAUAUAUUUUUCCAAUAUUUGGGACUAUUUCUCUUAAAUUAUUGCUCUUAUGGUUUUAAAUAGUGAGAAAAGACAAAGUGGAGUGACAGGAGGGUGAUGGUGAAAGAUGUGGCCUUUUUGUGUUAUCAUUGAUCUCUUUAUUGUAAGAAAGAGUUGUGUACGGUUUUAAAGCAAACUCUUUAUUCAUCAUAUUAGAUCC